rnacentral:snRNA from 1 species
UUGCUUCAGCAGCACAUAUACUAAAAUUGGAAGCAUACAGAGAAGAUUAGCAUGGCCCCUGUGCAAGGGUGGCAUGCAAAUUCAUGAGGCAUUCCAUAGUUUA